AAUAGUUGCUAGGGGUGUCGGACCACCGACUGAGACGCCAAUUGGCGGACCCUUUGAACCUGGGAGUUUGGACUCGCGGAGGGAAGCAACGGUCGGCGAAA
rnacentral:ncRNA from 3 species